UACGUAGGGUGCGAGCGUUAAUCGGAAUUACUGGGCGUAAAGCGUGCGCAGGCGGUUCGUUGUGUCGGUGGUGAAAAUCCCCCGGGCUUAACCUGGGAAUGGCCAUGGAAACUGGCGAACUGGAGUGCGGCAGAGGGGGGUGGAAUUCCCGGUGUAGCAGUGAAAAUGCGUAGAGAUCGGGAGGAACAUCCGUGGCGAAGGCGACUACCUGGACCAGCACUGACACUGAGGCACGAAAGCGUGGGGAGCGAACAGG
rnacentral:rRNA from 1 species